AGAAGUGCAGAGACCAUGAUGGGUUGUUGAUUCUUUUUGGUCGUUCGUUCUCCCGGCUAUUCUUCCUGGUUGGCUUGCCCCCGUGUGUGGUUCUUCUCUUUGGAUGUGUUCCCCUAGGAGAGGUGAAUUCCUGGGACGUUUGGGCUGGCGUGUGGAGGUAUUUGAGGACUAUUGUGGGGUUUCGGCUAUCUGGCUGUGUAACAGAUAUAUCAGCGAUCGAGUGGAGAUAUUCAGGACAGAAAGAGUGUGAGUUCUGGAAAGCAAGUGAAGACCAGGCCGCGCCAUCGCUAUCGGAGGGAAGUUAAGAGACCUGAUCUGGGACUUCGAUCAAUUGUAUACAUCUGGACUGGGAGUGAUAACGUUGUGAAGUGGACGGAGCUAUCGUUGGAUCGCAGGAUCCUCUGGGCCGAACGCCGCAUGUGAUGUCCCUAUGAAAGGAGAUCGCAGGAUCCUCUGGGCCGAACGCCGCAUGUGAUGUCCCUAUGAAAAGAGGUGGACACAAGAAUUAUUCCUUUCCCGGUCACAACCGAAGCAUCUCCC